UGCUCCAUCGUACUCCCUCGGGGGCGCAAGACGAAGUGCGCUGGAGCCGGACGCCGGGGGAGGAGCCGAAGUCCAUCGUAGACCCAAUCCGAUGGAGGAUGGUGGUAUGUUCCUCCAUCGAUGGGAGGGGGGUGGCCGCUGCUCCUGCUGACUCAAUGCUCAGGGUGCGGGCUUCUGUAACGGUCUGGGCAUAGUGGGUGCGGAGUCAGGCGCAGGAGGCAGAAAGUUCAGGAUAGCGUUUAUUACGCUCAGGGAAGAAAUAGCGCUCGCCAAGAAUACCGGGCGCACAAUAACAAAUGCUCAACACAAUAUGUACUGAAAAAUAGUUAAGCCCGCACAAAGAGCAGGCGGGCCUACCGGCUUAAAUAGCCCAACUAAUCAACCUCAACAAGGAACAGGUGAAACUGAACAGACAAAACCGAGCGCCACCCGAACAGGGAGAGGAGUAACAAUCGACACCCACCUGACCCCAUCCUGCCAAGCAAAGGCCAUAGAAGGUCAAGAAAAGGUCAAGGAUCAUCACACAGUGCUGCCAUGUCUGGAUUGGAUUUCUAUGAGCAGAUUGCAUGGGACGCCUAGCUGCAUUACACUAGCAUGUUUUUUUUUUUUUUUAUGUCACCGGCCUUCUCCAGUUGCUUGCCAUUCU